AUUGAACGCUGGCGGCAGGCCUAACACAUGCAAGUCGAACGGUAACAGGAAGAAGCUUGCUUCUUUGCUGACGAGUGGCGGACGGGUGAGUAAUGUCUGGGAAACUGCCUGAUGGAGGGGGAUAACUACUGGAAACGGUAGCUAAUACCGCAUAACGUCGCAAGACCAAAAAGGGGGACCUUCGGGCCUCUUGCCAUCGGAUGUGCCCAGAUGGGAUUAGCUAGUAGGUGGGGUAACGGCUAACCUAGGCGACGAGCCCUAGCUGGUCUGAGAGGGUGACCAGCCACACUGGAACUGAGACACGGUCCAGACUCCUACGGGAGGCAGCAGUGGGGAAUAUUGCACAAUGGGCGCAAGCCUGAUGCAGCCAUGCCGCGUGUAUGAAGAAGGCCUUCGGGUUGUAAAGUACUUUCAGCGGGGAGGAAGGAAGUAGAGUUAAUACCUUCGCUCAUUGACGUUACCCGCAGAAAAAGCACCGGCUAACUCCGUG
rnacentral:rRNA from 1 species